rnacentral:lncRNA from 1 species
UCCGAGAUAGAAGAGCAGAUACACUUGUCAGUAGGGCAUUUGUUCCAAACUUGUGCUUCUAGCUUUUCAUUGACACCAUGCCUUCCAGUUCUGACGAGCUGAUUUUUUUUGUGAAUGGGAAAAAGGUCAUAGAGAAGAACCCUGUCCCUGAAAUGAAUCUCCUGUUCUACGUAAGGAAAGUUCUCCAUCUGACAGGCACUAAGUACAGCUGUGGAGGAGGAGGCUGUGGAGCCUGCACUGUGAUGAUCUCGAGAUACAAUCCCGAGUCCAAGAAGAUCUAGUAUCCUUUGCCCUGACCUGCCUCUGCUCUGGGCACCUCUGGGAAGAACGAGGAGCCUUCCCUGUGAAGACUCCACUUUUUCCUGUAAUUAUGCCUCACUCCCGAUGGAAUCGCACUAGGGUCUCUUUUUUCAAGUUAGAGCUUGGACCACACCACAGCCUCUGAUGCAGGAGAAUGGGAGGUGGCCCCGAGUUCAGUUUUAGGCAAGCAUUUAUAGAGGCAAGAAGUGGGUAUCUAGCAUGGCACACAUCUGGUUGGGGCCACAUACUAAACCAAAAAGGAAUAAAGGCAGGAAGGAUAAAUAUACGCCUAUGACAUCCUAAAUAUAACCUUUUCCAUC